CCUACGGGUGGCAGCAGUAGGGAAUAUUGCUCAAUGGGGGAAACCCUGAAGCAGCAACGCCGCGUGGAGGAUGAAGGUUUUCGGAUUGUAAACUCCUUUUGUUAGAGAAGAUAAUGACGGUAUCUAACGAAUAAGCCCCGGCUAACUCCGUGCCAGCAGCCGCGGUAAUACGGAGGGUGCAAGCGUUACUCGGAAUCACUGGGCGUAAAGAGCGCGUAGGCGGGAUAGCAAGUCAGAUGUGAAAUCCUAUGGCUUAACCAUAGAACUGCAUUUGAAACUGUUAUUCUAGAGUAUGGGAGAGGUGGGUGGAAUUCUUGGUGUAGGGGUGAAAUGCGUAGAGAUCAAGAGGAAUACUCGUUGCGAAGGCGACCUGCUAGAACAUAACUGACGCUGAUGCGCGAAAGCGUGGGGAGCAAACAGGAUUAGAUACCCUUGUAGUC
rnacentral:rRNA from 1 species